ACCCGCCUAGCUCAGUUGGUAGAGCACAAGGCUCUUAACCUUGUGUUCCGGGGUUCGAGCCCCCGGGUGGGCG